rnacentral:snRNA from 1 species
UGGUCAUCGCGCUUGGUU